AGGUAUUGUAUAAUUUAAAUGAAUAACAAUUCUUUAUAUUACGAAUUGAUUUGCAAUAAAUAAAAUUAUCAACUUUAAAUUCAACCAACUAAUUAUAUGAUUUUACUAUCUUGCAGUAAAUCAAACUACAUAGAAUAAAUAGGAGAGAUAUAUGGAUCUUAUUCUCAUCGAAGCCAUCCGGUCUGUACUUUGAUAAUUUUCCGAAGAUUUCACCGAAUGAGCGCAUAUAGCCCAUCUUGCGCGCUGUAAACCCAUAAUCGAAUUGUGAAAAAUUCGGUUGAAGAAAUAGGAUAAACACGAAAAGUUAGUUAAUCAAACGACAAUGAACAAAAGGAACAUGGAUCUUAUUCUCAUUGAAGCCCUUCUAUCAGUACCUGGAUAAAGCAUGCUGAUCACAAAUAUUGAUUAAAAUAGGAUAGAGGAAAUCAAUUCGCGAGAAUUGAAGUUUAAAGAUUUCGUCAACUGACAUAAAAAGCAGGACUUUCUCGAUUCUAUGAAGAACGGGAACUUUAGAGGAAAAUGACGCUGAAUGUUGUGGACACUUCAUAAAAUUGGCCAACUUCACUGGACACAUUCUCUUUUUGUUUUAAAAAAACGGGGUAAAAGAGACAUUCAUUUUUUUUUAAAUUGUUUUAUGUUAUCAAAAGUUCAAUUAUUUAUAUCACAAAAUAUGAUUGAUGUAGUUUAAAGGACUGUAUUUUUUUUAACAAAAUGUCUUCUAAAUGUAAAUUAAAAUUUAAGUAUAACUGCCUAUGUAAAAAUUAUGAAUAUUGUAUAAAAUGUACUAUGAAUUAAAGUGAAAUAAAAACGAUUUUUUAUGAAAAUCAAAUUUUUAAAAUUUUGGUAAAAAAACUGGAUUUCCAGUUGGCAUAGCUAAAUUUUAGUAAUCCAAGAAUUUAUAACAAAUAGUUAUGUGUACGAAAAUUUAUGUUGGCAUUCCUAAACUUUAGUAGUAUACAGACGUAAAACAUUUUAAUAGUCAUAACUAAAUAUUCUGUUGAGAGAACUAAAAUUUUUCGUUUUGGGCAAUUACUAAAAAUUUUAGUAAAAAUUCUUUACUAAAUUUCUUUACUAAAGUCCAGUCAGUGCCAGUUUUAGUAAUG